AGUAGAAUGAUUUAUAAUCCUUUGGGUAUAUACCCAGCAAUGGGAUUGCUGAGUCAAAUGAUAUUUCUAGUUCUAGAUCCUUGAGGAAUAGCCACAACAAACUAUCACAAGAACAGAAAACCAAACACCGCAUGUUCUCACUCACAAGUGGGAGUUGAACAAUGAGAACACAAGGACACGGGGAGGGGAACGUCACGCACUGGGGCUUGUCGGGGGUGGGGGGCUAGGGGAGGGAUAACAUUAGGAGAAAUACCUAAUGUAGGUGACAGGUUGAUGGGUGCAGCAAGCCACCAUGGCAGGUGUAUACCUAUGUAACAAAACUGCACGUUCUGCACAUGUACCCUAGGACUUAAAUAAUAAUAAUAAUAAUAAAGAGAAGCUGUUACGUAGUCUUCCAUAGAGAUGUGGGUCAGUACAAGGCAAGAGAAUUUUGUGACUAGCUUUCUAAAUUCCAAACAGAGUUGUAAACAUGCCAUAGUACUAUUAAAGGGUGGGAGGGAAAAUAAGUAUUUUCUUUUACCCUAGACCUAUAAUUGGAAAUCAUGUUUGUAUUAGCCAGGAUUCUCCAGAUAGACAGAACUAAUAGGAUAAAUAAAUAUUAGGUUGGACAAAAGUAACUGCGGUUUUUGCUAUUACUUUUAAUAGACAAGUAUAGAUAUGGAUAUAGAUAUAGAUAUAGAUCUAUCUAUAUCUAUAUAUAGGAUACAUAGAUAUACCCUAUAUAUCUAUAUAGUAUCUAGUAGGAUAAUUGGCUCACAUGAUUAUCGAGGCUGAGUUAUACAAUUAAAAUACAAGCCAAAGCUUAAGCCCCGUUUUUAUAAAAACUGGUAUAGAAUUGUUUUUAUUUUAAUACAAAAUUAUAAUUUUGAUGACUUCAUAAGUUUACGUGUAGAAAAUAUAAUGGUGAAAUAGAACAUUCACUUACAUUUUUGAGGUCAUUUUUCAGCUUUUAAGUUAAGAAAAUAUAGAGGAAAUAAAGAGAAGUGAUAAUUAGCAGUGGGAGAACAAAUUAUAUAACAAUUCAAAAAAUUUUUUAAAAUUACCCAGAUCUUAUAUUGCCCUGAUCAAUGUAUCAGAUAUCAGUACCAGAUGAGUAUAUUUCAAAAUUUUAGUAAUAAAAAUUGGACAAUAUAAGAUUAGCUGAGGAAAAAACCAAAGUCUCAUUCAAAAUUCAUAGCACAAAAGGGAUUUGAAAGCAAGCAUAAAUUUUGGGCAGGAAGUGAGAAAAAUUACUUUCUACAUUUUUGUGGUUAAAUCUGAGAAACUAUGAUUUAAUCAACAUAUUCUUGCUUAUUUGUAAGAGUACUAAAACAUCUGAUUAUAUUGUCCAGAGCAUUCCAGACAGUUGCUUUUUACAGUUGCAGUAUACCUUUUGCAAAAACUAAGGUCAGAAAUAAUAAAUUCUGUAUAAAUAAGUUACUGUAAUUCACUUUGGGUAAAAAAGUACUUUCUUCCUUACGGUUUAUUUUUCCUGAAGGAAAAAUAUUCAUUUAGCAAUCACAAUGGACCAGGAGCUUGUUCAGGUGAUGAGACACUCGCGAAACAGAGUAGCCAGGGCAGAGACUGCCAAUGCUCCCGGGAAUUCAUUAUCUUCAUUUUCCCUGAGCCACAGAGCCUUGUGAUCUCUCCACAACCUAUCAUCGUGGAUUAGCUGGACACACAGUGACCUAAUUUAGAGAAGAGAGUUCUUGGCCUCCAUUUAAACGACAUGUGGCAGCAUUGGAGUAACUUUCAACCAGUGAAAGACACGCUGUUGGCGAGGUGGCGUUGAUCCCUUGUUCAAUACAACACUUAAGAGGAUGCCACAAAUUCAACAUAGAAGGAACCGGAGUCCUUAUAUAAUUGAAUCAGUGGAUUGAAUACAUUUUGCUCACUUGUCUCUGGACUGUCAUGUGAGGGGGAAAAAAAUGACAUGAUUGAAUAGGUCCACUCCAUUUUCUGUUUUUUUUGUUUGUUUGUUUGUUUGUUUUAAUUACCUACACCACUAACUAGCAGAAUCUUUUCUUCUUGGAAUUAAUACUCUAAUGAACAGUUUGUUCAAAAUUAAAUCAAUAAAAUGUGGCCACAUUUCUUACUCACCGAGACAUUUCUUGUUUUAUCCCCCCAGGGCUCUCUGUUUUAAAAAUUAAGGUCCUCAUUUUCCUGUGAAAUAGUAUCUAGUCAACGUAUUUCCAGAAAAUGUAUCUUCAUUAUUAUUUUCUUGUAUUUUCAAGUUUUGGUAAAUUUGGUUUUGAAAAGACUGAUUAAUAUUUAUUUCCAGUGGAUUUCCUCUCUCAUGAUAAGGCAAAUUUAAAUACAGCUUUAAAUCAUAAUGGCAUUAAUUCCUCACAGGGAAAUCCAGUGAGGUUUACCAGCAUUUUUGACCUACUUUCAAAGUGAAUUUUCUCUGUCAAAAGAUGUAGCUCAACUAAAAGAAAAAAAAAAAAAAAGGAAAAAAAGAAAGAAAAAGAAAAAAAAAGGAAAAAAAGAAAGAAAAAGAAAAAAGAAAUAUUCAGAAAGAUUAAAAAUAAGUGUAUGUUAUGACUCUACAAGUGUAGGAAAUACUACUUUAUCUCAGUCUCAAGUUCUUUUUAUUCACAUAUCCAAAUUCAUUCAAAUAUGCUGUUUAUAACAUAUGUAAAUGUGUAGAUAGAUAAAAUGUGCUUAGAAAAUAUUAUAUAAAUAGUAUAAAGAUAAAUAUAUCAUAUAUAAAUGUAUAUUUUAUUUUAAUAUUCAUUAAGCUUAUUUUUAGUAGCACUAUUUAACUUAUAGAAGGGGGAUACAAAAAUAUGCAGAUUAGAGCAAGCUGGUUAAAGCGUAGGGUCUGGGUCCGGAAUGCCUGGUUUGCAUCCGCUUCCUCUCAGUAGUGUGACCUUGGCCAAGUUUACCCAAACAUGCUGUGCUUCAGUUUCCUCAUUCAUGAAGUGGGCAAUAAUAGAAUCUUUUCUUAGUACAGCUGAGAAGAUAAAAAACAUUUUUCAAUAAAAUCACUUACAGCUUAGAUCAAAAAAAAAAAAAAAAAGAAAGAAAAGAAAGCACAGAUUGUCCCUGAUUAGGAUGAGGAUGAUUUGACUUACAAAUUUUCAACUUUAUAAUGGUGCAAAACCAUUGAAAUUUUGACAUACGGUUUUCAAUAAACUAUAUAACAUAGUAAACACCUUAUUACAAAAUAGGACUUGGUUCGAUGAUUUUCCCCAACUGUAGGCUAAUGUAAAUGAGAGCACAUUUAAGGUAGGAUAGGCUAAGCAAUGAUGUUCAGUAGGU
rnacentral:lncRNA from 1 species